rnacentral:rRNA from 1 species
CUACACAUGCAGUCGAGCGGAUGAGAGGAGCUUGCUCCUGGAUUCAGCGGCGGACGGGUGAGUAAUGCCUAGGAAUCUGCCUGGUAGUGGGGGACAACGUUUCGAAAGGAACGCUAAUACCGCAUACGUCCUACGGGAGAAAGCAGGGGACCUUCGGGCCUUGCGCUAUCAGAUGAGCCUAGGUCGGAUUAGCUAGUUGGUGAGGUAAUGGCUCACCAAGGCGACGAUCCGUAACUGGUCUGAGAGGAUGAUCAGUCACACUGGAACUGAGACACGGUCCAGACUCCUACGGGAGGCAGCAGUGGGGAAUAUUGGACAAUGGGCGAAAGCCUGAUCCAGCCAUGCCGCGUGUGUGAAGAAGGUCUUCGGAUUGUAAAGCACUUUAAGUUGGGAGGAAGGGUUGUAGAUUAAUACUCUGCAAUUUUGACGUUACCGACAGAAUAGCACCGGCUAACUCUGUGCAGCAGCCGCGUAUACAGAGGGUGCCGCGUUAUCGGAAUACUGGCGUAAGCGCGCGUAGUGUGUAGUGAUGUGAAUCCCGGGCUCACUGGACUGCAUCA